rnacentral:misc_RNA from 1 species
GUUUUCUUGGAGUUUCAAUUUCGACCAUGGCUGCUUCUCCUCCCGUGCCUCGUCCUUGUGUGUGUGUGAUCAGAAGGAACUGAAGGGUGGUUUUUGAUAUAUCGGGGAAUUGAAAUUUGUAGACUGAAACACUGUCGUAACAAACUGAUCCAAAUCUCGCGGGUCCUUUUUCGCGUACCGUUUGUGUUUUUCUGCUGAUGCUAAAGGUGGCGUCUACAAAACUGCGACUUUGCUUUAGGAUGUUCCUGAUCCGACAUGUGUG